AGCAAAACGGACUUCAGUUUAAAUAUUCUUUACUGUCAUUGAACGGAGACAGAGAGCAAUAGGACCCCGGAUCAGCAAUUGGCGGGCAGAUUCAUUGCUGUACUGAGAAGACAACAAGUCACUUUGUUCCAUAAGCACAUCCAUUUAAUGGGCUUUUAAAAAUCCUGUCAGGCUCCAUGCUUGUUCAUAGCAGGCAAUUACAUUUAUCCAUGUGAUAUGUGAUGCUGGUCAGAAGUACAAGACCCAGACUACGGCCCAUCUCAACUGCCUUGUGGACAAGCUGUGAAUCUGAGUGAUGUCAUAGGGUGAACAUAGAGAAUCUAAAGAGUGUCUUACAUCCACAACAUCUGGGAAUGUAAGCGACCCUGUAGUGGAAAAUCUGUGUAAUGGAAGAUUGAUGGACGUCACUUCCAUGGUCUGCCCUCCUGGACCCGCCCCUUCUUGCCUGGAACCCAUAUGAUCACCAGUUCGGCCAUCUUUGACACCCAUCUGAAAAGAUGUCUACUUUAUCUUUGUAAUAAAGUUAUUUCCUUUUUGAUUAAUUUCAUUAUAGGGUCAUGGACAUGCCCCAAGCCUUGUUCUGUGUCUGCUUCUUGUUUGACCUUAUGUAUAUAUGUACAUAUAGAGGAUAGGCAAGAUUUGACACAUGAAGCUGUUAUAACCUGCAAAGCAAUGGUUAAAGUAAAGAAGAGAAACACAAACUGUUUAAAAAAGCAGGGGAAGGGAGAAACCCUAGAAAACAGAAUGAAAAUCUGUAACAUGUAAUUUGAAGAAUAUCAAAGAAUAAGUGAACCAGUUUCCCUAAUGCUCAAAUUAUUCAUAUCUGCCAUGAUCAUGGGAAAGGCGCUAUAUAAAUAAAACUGAAAAGACUAGGGGCUAAUUUAUACUUCUGUAUUUCCCUGUGUUAACUGCCAUAGCUGCAUAAUACAGGUAAUAUGUAAAACAUCAGUAAAAUAUUUAAAUAAAAAUC